rnacentral:rRNA from 1 species
UACAGAGGUCCCGAGCGUUGUUCGGAUUCAUUGGGCGUAGAGGGUGCGUAGGCGGCGGGGCAAGUCUGAUGUGAAAUCCCGGGGCUCAACCCCGGAACUGCAUUGGAUACUGCCUUGCUUGAGUACUGGAGAGGGAACUGGAAUUUACGGUGUAGCAGUGAAAUGCGUAGAGAUCGUAAGGAAGGCCAGUGGCGAAGGCGAGUUCCUGGACAGUUACUGACGCUGAGGCACGAAGGCCAGGGGAGCAAACGGG